GGAAGUAGUUUCUGCUGUUACAUUCAAUAAUCUAAUCUUACAAAAUAUCACAUAUACAUUGUGGUUAGGCAUUUCCUGAUACAUAGAAACUGUCAUAGCUUGUGACUUCCUUUCAGUUAUGUUUUGCAAGCAGUUCUGAAAUACUGACAGAUUCAUUGUUUAACCCCUUAAGGACCAAAUUUCUGGAAUAAAAGGGAAUCAUGACAUGUCAUGUGUCCUUAAGGGGUCAAUAUUCC